rnacentral:rRNA from 1 species
CAUGCAAGUAGGACGCACAGUUUAUACCGUAGCUUGCUACACCAUAGACUGUGAGUUGCGAACGGGUGAGUAACGCGUAGGUAACCUACCUAUUAGAGGGGGAUAACUAUUGGAAACGAUAGCUAAUACCGCAUAACAGUAUGUAACACAUGUUAGAUGCUUGAAAGAUGCAAUUGCAUCGCUAGUAGAUGGACCUGCGUUGUAUUAGCUAGUAGGUAGGGUAAUGGCCUACCUAGGCAACGAUACAUAGCCGACCUGAGAGGGUGAUCGGCCACACUGGGACUGAGACACGGCCCAGACUCCUACGGGAGGCAGCAGUAGGGAAUCUUCGGCAAUGGGGGGAACCCUGACCGAGCAACGCCGCGUGAGUGAAGAAGGUUUUCGGAUCGUAAAGCUCUGUUGUUAAGGAAGAACGAGUGUGAGAAUGGAAAGUUCAUGCUGUGACGGUACUUAACCAGAAAGGGACGG